rnacentral:rRNA from 1 species
CAGUAGCCGCGGGAAAACGAAGGGGGCGAGCGUUAUUCGGAAUCACUGGGCGUAAAGCGUGCGUAGGCGGUCCUAAAAGUUAGGAGUGAAAGCCCAGGGCUCAACCCUGGAAUUGCUCUUAAAACUAUAGGACUAGAAUUCGGGAGAGGAUAGCGGAAUUGUCAGUGUAGCAGUGAAAUGCGUAGAUAUUGACAGGAACACCAGUGGCGUAAGCGGCUAUCUGGACCGACAUUGACGCUGAGGCACGAAAGCGUGGGGAUCAAACAGGAUUAGAUACCCCCGUAGUCCCUGUCUCUUAUAC